GAACAAGAUGGCGCCAGCAAUGGAGCUGCUUUCCUGCGGCAUAAUCGAAAAGGAUUGCAACGGUGAUGUUCUGUGGACUUGGAACUACCCCGACGUUACAGAAUCGCAAAAAGUUUUGGUGCUCAGAAAAUCUUCCCUACAAUCUGAGCACAAUGAUAUUUUACCCUUCGUUUAUGCCAGACACUCUCACAACUCCUGGUUUUAUAUUCAAUGCACCGAAGUUUCCGACUCCGAUAAUUUACCCAGGGUAAAACAGUUUGCGCUUGUUUUAUUCGCGACAGAUUUCAAUCCACCAAAAUACGAGGCACUGUGUCGUGUCUUGAGCAAAAUGUACUGUAGGACUGGAAGUCCAAUAGAGUUGCUGCAGCUCUAUUUAUCCGUAUUCACCAAAGGCUCUUGCGCAACUCAGGAUAACGGAACGUUUGUUUGCAAUGAAUACAGCGAUCGAAAAGUUGCCAGUAACAGCACCAACCUCAGAGGCUUGAUAAAGACUUUUGAGCUGAAGACGAUUCUUAUAUACACAGCGAUAUUGCUGAAGAAACGGAUAAUAGUCUACCACCACAGCCUUGAACAGCUUCUUAGAUGGAUACGGACCUUCCCUGCUUUUAUGAAACACAGAAAUGUUACCGAAUAUUUAUUUCCAUGGGUCGACCUGGUUAAAGAUGAGAUACUGGAGCUUAAGGGUCAUUCUUCGUAUAUCGCAGGGUGCACGGAUAGUCUAGUCGCUUCACGGGCUGAGCUUUACGAUCUACUCGUGAAUUUACCUGCAAGAGAAAUCACUAUUGCGUCACAUGCAAAAGAAAGUCUAACGAUGACGAAGACACACAAGGAAAUAGCCUUGUUCAUGGUCCAGCUCGGAGAUAAUCCAUCUUACUCGGAGGUGCAAAUAACAUCAGAGAUCUCAGAUAAAACACAAGAUCUUUUGAAUCAGUUAAAAUCGUUGGCAAGUUUAACAACGCCUGAAGGUAGAAAAAUGGUAUCCAUCGAAACGUUUAAAGAGAAAAACUUAGCCCCUGCAGUCGAGAACUUUCUCAUCAAUUUAGCAAUCGCCGAAAACCUAAUCAUGCUGUGAUCUCUUACACACACAAAAUAUGUUCUUAUUUUGUUCCGAGUCCUCUUACAAGUAGAGGUUUCCAUUGGAAUAAGAAUUCUUCAUCGCUCACCUCCAUCUUCGGCGACCACGAGGAGGGGCUCGGCUUCGUUCAGGAUAUGCUUAACUCUGGGAGCUGGAAACCCUGGAUCCAACGGAAGGUAAGCCAUUCCGGCCUUCAACGUAGCCAGCAAGAGAGUCGGAAGACGAUCCGUAGGCUGCAUUGAAAUUGCUACGAGGGCAUCGAGGCUGCUGGAUCGACGACAGCGUUUUGCUAGGACCCGUGACAGCUGAUUGGUUCGCGCUUCGAGCUGACUGUAAGUCAAACUUCUGUCCUUGCCAAACUCGUCUGUAAAACGAGAUUGAAAGCUUAAUCGCAACGUUCUUUUUCACUCGUUUCGUCCGUCAACGCAAAUUAUUAUUUCUCAAUUAACUAUCUCACUUUAUAGACCACACAGCUAAAUUAUCAAAAAUAUUUGAACAUGGUUUUCUCAUGAAUUUCAUCGCCCAGAAUUCCUCUUGUAUCCUAGAAUUUUUUCAAUUCUGACACGGUGAGAUAUUUCAGCGACGACAAUUUACAAAAGGGUGAACGAAAAUUUACCUUCGUAGACAAUUGCUGUGUGAUUCAGAUUGUUGGCCGCCACUUGGGAGAAUAUUUUAUGAACGAAUACUUCCUCGUUCUUUCGGCCUGUGUUUUCUCCUUUGAGAACUGACAACUGUUUCAGCGAACCCAUCUGUGAAUACGAAAACAAAACAAGGGAUGAAAAUAUUUCUUAUAACGUAUAACAGAAAUACUCGGGAGAUUUUUGUCACAAUGCAACAAAUUUGAUGGAUUUUUUUGAAAAAUACAGACAGAUAUUUAAUUGAAAGAAAAAAUGGGAGAAAAACUUUUCAGGAAAAUGAGGAAAGAAAGCUUUCAUACUAGAAAAAUUUGUUACAGAAGUUCCAGGAAUAUAUUGCCAACUCGAGUGCAAAGCGUUGAGCAAUUUUAUAUAUAAAUCCUUGGGUAUAAUUAGCACAGAGAUAUCCUUACUGAUAAUUUCAGGAAAAUAAUAAAUAUAUACCGAUAAAAUGGUGUUACAAUGAUUGCAUAAUAGUAUAUUUCUUGCGCGUAUCGCAAUCGAAAUUAGUUAACAACACGUCUCGUAAAAAGUAAGGAAUAUACGAUGUAAAUAUUGCAUCUAUCUACUUUCAAUACACACUUGUAAGUAUAACCAUUGAUGUGCAAAGAAAAAAAAAAAAACACUGCGA